CACAGUGGAGGGUUCCAGAGGGUCCUGCACUCGGAGGCAGGAGAGUUGGGUUUUCACGCUGGUUCUGCUUGAGCAGAACAUUGGAGAUUCAUUCUCUGCUUUCUACAUUGGCUUUUGCAUCAAGAAGUUGAAGCAUUUUUAUUCCUCUGGUUCCUCCAAGCUCUGAAAUACCAGGAAUCACUCUCUUUUUUAGAGUUGGAGAAACUAGAGUUGGAGGAGGCUAUGUUCUACUGAGCACGUGUUCCUUCAGGCUCAGUGGCUUGCUCUGUCCUGACUCUCUCUGGUUUAUCAUCCACAGAGUCCCUGGGAUGCAGCUGUCUCUAGACCCCUUGACAAAGACAGCGAGGCUCAUCGUGGUAAGACCAGGGUGAAGAAGCAAGCCACACGGCUUCUGACGGCUCCACACGAAACCAUCUGAGCGGCACUUGAAAGGAUCUUUGCUAUCUUUGGUCCAACACUGGACCUAACUCUCAACAGUGGCCUCACAGUUUCACUCAUCAAACUCGUGGCAGGCAGGACAUUAGUUAAUAAACCCCUAUGGCCAGCUGGACAAGAGAAUGAAGCUUCUCAUACAAAAUGUCCACAAGGCAGUCUUUCCGAAGAGCAUCCAUGUAUCGGAUCCUGUGUGUCUGUCUGUCUGUAACCUUGGGUCACUUGUCCCACAGCUGGACUCCCUCUGCUCUCUCUCUUUGUAGCCCUGGCUGUCAAACCAAUAAAUACAGGUCAAUCCUGCAAUUCUUGCCUCAGCCUCUGCUUUGUAGACAAUUUGGGCUUAAAAUAAACACCCUCUAAACCCAUCUUUACGGAACAGUGUCCAAAGUGAGAGCACCACUUAGCACAAAGACAAAUUAG
rnacentral:lncRNA from 1 species